rnacentral:sRNA from 1 species
GCUUUUUCUUUAGGAACAUGUACCAUCAC